rnacentral:rRNA from 1 species
AAUGAACGUUGGCGGCAUGGAUUAGGCAUGCAAGUCGGGGGAAUCCCAGCAAUGGGGGAACCGGCGUAGGGGCAGUAAGGCAUGGGUACCUACCUUGGGGUUCGGGAUAGCCAUCAGAGAUGGUGGGUAAUACCGGAUGACGUCGUGAGACCAAAGAUUUAUCGCCCUUAGAGGGGCCCAUGUGAUAUUAGCUAGUUGGUGGGGUAACGGCCCACCAAGGCGAAGAUGUCUAGCGGGUGUGAGAGCACGACCCGCGCCACUCUCACUGAGACACUGGCGAGACACCUACGGGUGGCUGCAGUGGAGGAUCUUCGGCAAUGAGGGCAAGCUUGACCGAGCUAUGCCGCGUGAGCGACGAAGGCCUUCGGGUUGUAAAGCUCUUUAGUGGGGGAGAAAAGCCGCAAGGUGUGAUCUAUCCCAAAAAUAAGCACGGGCUAAGUUCGUGCCAGCCGCCGCGGUAA